AUUGAACGCUGGCGGCAGGCUUAACACAUGCAAGUCGAGCGGGGGAAGGUAGCUUGCUACUGGACCUAGCGGCGGACGGGUGAGUAAUGCUUAGGAAUCUGCCUAUUAGUGGGGGACAACAUCUCGAAAGGGAUGCUAAUACCGCAUACGUCCUACGGGAGAAAGCAGGGGAUCUUCGGACCUUGCGCUAAUAGAUGAGCCUAAGUCGGAUUAGCAAGUUGGUGGGGUAAAGGCCUACGAAGGCGACGAUCUGUAGCGGGUCUGAGAGGAUGACCCGCCACACUGGGACUGGGACACGGCCCAGACUCCUACGGGAGGCAGCAGUGGGGAAUAUUGGACAAUGGGGGGAACCCUGAUCCAGCCAUGCCGCGUGUGUGAAGAAGGCCUUAUGGUUGUAAAGCACUUUAAGCGAGGAGGAGGCUACUUUAGUUAAUACCUAGAGAUAGUGGACGUUACUCGCAGAAUAAGCACCGGCUAACUCUGUGCCAGCAGCCGCGGUAA
rnacentral:rRNA from 1 species